CUUAAUUGCUUAAUUGCUUAAUUGCUUAAUUGUUAAUUGCUUAAUUUUUUAACAUUGUUUUUAUUUUUUAUAUUUUCAUGAUUUUUGCAUAUACAUGAUAAUGCACGUAUAUAUAUAUAUAUAUAUAUAUAUAUAUAACUGUGUUUAUUUUUUUUUUUUUUUUGGAAAAUAGCUAAAAAUACAUGGAGUUGAUCUACGAAUUAAGCCAAAUAUUCAUAGAAAUGCUUCUAAAGGAAUAAAAAAUAAACUUAAGAAUAUGUUAAAGCAAAAUGAAAAAGUACAUAUCUUGAGCGAAACACAAUUAUUUUCCCCCUAUGUAAUAAAAAAGGUAAAUUAUAUAAGACCAAAAAUGGAACACGAAAUUAUUUGUUGUAGUUGUGAAGAAUAUAAAAAUAUAAAAAAUAGUAUAUGUUGUUAUAAUAAUUAUAACAAAAUAAAAAGUUACAUAUGUCAAGAAUGUUCCGUUUUGAAAAACAAAAAUUAUGAACAAAAUACACCUGCAAUAACAAACGAACAAAUUCGUUUGAAAAAUAAGUUUUUAAAUCAAGUAUAUCAUCAAAAAAAUGCAAAAAAUAAUUUUUAUAAUUCAAAAAAUAAUAUAUUACAUAAUAUUAACAAUAAAAAUAGUCAAGUAUGUACAAAUACAGACACAGUCACAGGUAAAAUUACAAACAAAGUCACAGAUACAGACAUAGACACAGUUUUGAAUAAAAGAAACAUAAGUUAUGAUUCUUAUUUAAAAAAAACACAAAACAUAUAUAACACUACUAACAUUACAGGUGUUACUACUGUACCCAAUAUUAAUAAUAUUAAUAGUUGUACAAAUUUUUAUAAUAAUUGUAGUUAUAUUGAUACCUAUAAUAAUAGUUACCAAAUAAAUAGUUCUGAUAUGAAGAAUAAAUAUUUACAAAAAUGUAUGAACAGAAAUAAAAAGAUUGAUUAUAGUUUAGAUUUAAUAAGAAAAAUUCCUUUAUCAGAUCAUUCAAAAAAUAAAUAUAUGACUGUUAAUAAUUUAUAUAACGAAAAUAAUAAAAAUAAAAUAGUUAUACAAAAUAGUUAUGAAAAAAAAAAAAAAAUAGAAUGUGAAAAUGAUUUAAAAAAUUUAGAACAAUUAAAUUAUAUUGGUCUAAAAAAAAUAAACAAAACAGAUAAUAACAGAAUAAAUAAUAAUCAUAAUAUUUAUCAUAACAUUUAUCAUAACAUUUAUCAUAACACUUAUAUUAAAAAAAAUGAUAUUAUUAAAAGUAGUAAUCAACUUUUCCCAAAUACAAAUAUAUCAGAAAGUACACAGUUGAACCAUGAAACUAAUUGGUAUACUAAACAAAAUUUACUACACAAUUUACAAGAUAAUCCCAAAAUAGAAUAUUUUGAUAAAAAUAAUGACUUAAAUUUAGAUAAGUUUAAAGUAGCAAGUAUAAAUGAUUUAAAGAAGGGAAAUGUAUAUAAUACAAAUUUUAGUCAUGUAUAUAAUGGCAAUUAUAAAGGUAUCAAUAAUGACAGUAAUGUUGCUGAUAAAGUAAAACAUUUUCAAUGUUAUACGAAUAACUCUCGUGAUAAUACUGAUGUUCAUAUUAAAAAUAAUAACUUAAACGAAAAUAGUAACAAUAUGUUAUACGAUUGUAAUAUUAUAAAUAACAAUGAAAACACAAAAAUAAAAAUAGAUAACUCCUUUUGUUUU
rnacentral:lncRNA from 1 species